UAUAUACUCCCUCCGUCCCACAAUUCUUGUCUUAAAUUUAUCUAGAUAUGAAUGUAUCUAGUCACGUUUUAGUAUUUUAAUACAUCCAUUUCUAGACAAAUCUAAGACAAGAAUUUUGGGAUGGAGGAAGUAUUUU
rfam:Hordeum vulgare subsp. vulgare, WGS project CAJW01000000 data, contig: morex_contig_138833